rnacentral:rRNA from 1 species
UGGGGAAUAUUGCACAAUGGGCGCAAGCCUGAUGCAGCCAUGCCGCGUGUGUGAAGAAGGCCUUCGGGUUGUAAAGCACUUUCAGCGAGGAGGAAGGUGGUGGACUUAAUACGUUCAUCAAUUGACGUUACUCGCAGAAGAAGCACCGGCUAACUCCGUGCCAGCAGCCGCGGUAAUACGGAGGGUGCAAGCGUUAAUCGGAAUUACUGGGCGUAAAGCGCACGCAGGCGGUUUGUUAAGUCAGAUGUGAAAUCCCCGGGCUCAACCUGGGAACUGCAUUUGAAACUGGCAAGCUAGAGUCUCGUAGAGGGGGGUAGAAUUCCAGGUGUAGCGGUGAAAUGCGUAGAGAUCUGGAGGAAUACCGGUGGCGAAGGCGGCCCCCUGGACGAAGACUGACGCUCAGGUGCGAAAGCGUGGGGAGCAAACAGAUUAGAUACCCUGGUAGUCCACGCUGUAAAACGAUGUCNAUUUUGGAGGUUGUGCCCCUUGAGGCGUGGUUCCGGAGCUAACGCGUUAAA